rnacentral:ncRNA from 1 species
AAAGUUUAAAUGAUUUGUAUAUAUAAGUAUAUAUAUAUAUUUAUAUAUAUAUAUAUAUAUAUUUAUAAAAAUUUAUAUAAAGUGUAGGUACCAUAAAAUUUAUUUGUAAUAAAAGUUGUUGCAAUAAAAUAUGAAAAAAUUAAAUGAAAGAGGUUUUUGCCACUCGUGCCAGCAGUCGCGGUUAUACGUAGGACUUAAAUGAAUAUUAUCGGUGUUGAAGUUAGUUUGUAAAAUAAAAGUUUUAAUUAAUUUUAGAAGGUAGAAUUUGAAAAUUAAAUAUACUUUAUUAUAUAAUGAAGCUUUGAAAUUUAAAAUUUAGACUAGGAUUAGAUACCCUAUUAUUUUUGAAUAUAAAAAAAUGAUACUAGAGUAGUAAUAGUUAAGUUCUUGAAACUUAAAGAAUUUGGCGGUGUUUUAGUCUUUUCAGAGGAAUCUGUCCUGUAAUUGAUAAUACACACUAUAAUAAAUUUAAUUUUGUAGUAUCAGCUUGUAUACCGCCGUCGUAAGAUUAUCUUUUAAGAGAAAGAAUUUUCUAGAUUUUGUAAUAAAAUUUAUGUCAGGUCAAGGUGCAGCUUAUGAUUAAAUAGGAGAUGGAUUACAAUAAGAUGAAUAUUUAAACGGAUAUUAUCUUGAAAUAGAUAAAUUGAAGGUGGAUUUGAGAGUAAUAUUAUUAUAUUAAGUUAAUGUGAUUGUAGCUCUAAAACAUGUACACAUCGCCCGUCGCUCUCAUUAUUUAAGGUGAGAUAAGUCGUAACAUAGUAGAUGUACUGGAAAGUGUAUCUAGGACG